UGCCUGUUCCCUUGCCUCCUUUCUUCUUUGCCAUUUUUUCCUUUGUUCCUCUUUCCGGGGCUAGCAUUAUGGCUAGGACCUCUCCUCGAGGAAGUCAGUCGAGAAACCCGACCGACGAUUCUCGAUCGACCCCAGAGGUGGAGGCUUCUUCACUUUCGGGACAAAACGUCGAACGGCUCAGGGAGCAAUACGGUAUCCCGAAGCAGUUCAAACUCUUCACCCCUGGAGUCGAGGGUCGGGUUAACAACCCACCUCCGGAUCAGGU
rnacentral:lncRNA from 1 species